GGGCGCGUAGCUCAGCGGCAGAGCGACUGACUUUUAAUCAGUUGGCCCGGGGUUCGACACCCUGCGCGCUCA
rnacentral:tRNA from 1 species